GCUGGCGGCGUGCCUAACACAUGCAAGUCGAACGAGAAAGUGGAGCAAUCCAUGAGUAAAGUGGCGACCGGGUGAGUAACACGUGACUAACCUACCUUCGAGUGGGGGAUAACCUAGGGAAACCUGGGCUAAUACCGCAUAAUAUCUUUGGAUCGGAAGAACUGGAGAUCAAAGGAGCAAUUCGCUUGAAGAGGGGGUCGCGGCUGAUUAGCUAGUUGGCGGGGUAAUGGCCCACCAAGGCUUUGAUCGGUAGCCGGCCUGAGAGGGCGCACGGCCACACUGGAACUGAAACACGGUCCAGACUCCUACGGGAGGCAGCAGUGGGGAAUUUUGCGCAAUGGGGGAAACCCUGACGCAGCAACGCCGCGUGGAGGAUGAAGUCCCUUGGGACGUAAACUCCUUUCGACCGGGACGAUUAUGACGGUACCGGUGGAAGAAGCCCCGGCUAACUUCGUGCCAGCAGCCGCGGUAAUACGAGGGGGGCAAGCGUUGUUCGGAAUUAUUGGGCGUAAAGGGCGCGUAGGCGGUGCGG
rnacentral:rRNA from 1 species